rnacentral:rRNA from 1 species
UACGGGGGGGGCAAGCGUUGUUCGGAAUUAUUGGGCGUAAAGAGCUCGUAGGCGGUUUGUUGCGUCGGCUGUGAAAUCCCGAGGCUCAACCUCGGGUCUGCAGUCGAUACGAGCAAACUAGAGUGUUGCAGGGGAGACUGGAAUUCCUGGUGUAGCGGCGAAAUGCGCAGAUAUCAAGAGGAACACCUGCGGCGAAGGCGGGUUGCUGGGCCGACACUGA